GAAACCAGCUCCUGAUAUACUCACACAGCUCACACUCACAGGCUCCUGUCAUCGUCUUUGCGGCAUUAGGCAGCUCAGUCAUAGGUAUUGCAUAUUUCUGUCUCCUCAUGUUUGUGUUCCUUGACUCCUGUCCUUGUGCAUCUUUGUCUCUUUUCUCUCCAAAGCCUUUCUCUCCUCCUCAUACACACGUACGCAUAUGUCUAACUUUUGCUCUUUCUCGUUCCUUUGCUAGGUCUCUCACAUGUCUUCUCUCUUUCUUGUGUUAACACAGUUUUAGUAUCAUACAUUGGUAUAUUACAGACAUUGUCACUUGCUGCAAUGUGGGAACAGGAAUACAAAUAAAAUGCUAAAGAAAUUGUAACAGUAAGACACAAUGCACACUAUAGUGCUCUUGUGUACAGUGCAUGUACUGAGAGUGAGAGGGAGUAUAGUGUCUUAUUGAAUCUAUGUACA